UUUCUUAUUUAACCGGCUACCCAUCCAUCCAUUCAUUCUUUGCAAAUAAAAUCCUAACCAUUCAUCUAUCCUCCUCCUAUAGUCCCACAUCUAGAAAUCAUGAAAACCUCCUCUCUUCUAACAUCUAUUAAAAGGCUUCCAUACCUCCACCUUGAAAAUCAUCCGACAAUCCAAGAAUCUGAAAAACCUUCAAAAGCCUUUGCAAGG
rnacentral:lncRNA from 1 species